rnacentral:lncRNA from 1 species
GAAGAGCUGAAACAAAACCAAGCAAAUUUGUAGUCUCAGCUUACGAAUAUUUCAUCCAUGUUACAACGAUUUCUUCCUUCUCAGGUAAAUAACUAUAUAUAUUUGAAUACUUUACAUAUUAUCAAUUAUGAUAUAUAAGUUAAUGUAUCACAUUAUUCCUAACUUCUAAGGUUUCUCUUUUUUUUUUGUCGAUUCCUGAUACUUCAAACGCUUGUAGAGAUGAUGAUGGAGCUGAAUCCCGUCCCU